GGAGGGUAUAGCUCAGUGGUAGAGUACAUGCUUAGCAUGCACGAGGUCCUGGGUUCAAUCCCCAGUGCCUCCA
rnacentral:tRNA from 1 species